CUUGAAUAAAUUUUCAUUAGAUCGUUUUGGUUUUUGCUAACUUUUGCUUAUUUCAAUAAAAGAUCAUGCCAAAAGCAAUGUCAACCAUUUCGGAAAGGCUGAAGCAGAUCGUUGGAGAAUUUUCUGAUUUUCAAACUGACGGUGAGGUGCUGAUUUGCAAGCUAUGUAGCAAGGUCGUAUCAUUUGAGAAAAAAUUUCUCGUAAAGCAGCAUUUCGAGGGCUUAUAUUCAAUACCCUCUAUCUGCAAUUUUGAUCAAAAUGAGUUUUUGAUGGUAACGUGAGCUCCGAUUAAUCUUUCAGCCAUGACAAUAAUGUCAAACUUAAAAUAUAGCUUUAAUGGUAUUAUAUUCUCAUUUUGAAAAUUCCACUAUCUGCAAUAACAUUUUGUUAUAAGAG